CGCCAGCCGCGGACGUGGGAGAUGGACCAGUGCUGGUAACUAACAAGAUGCAUCAAAGAGAAUUCAAUUGUGUUACUCUGCUGAUUUUCCUUGCUUAAAUGUUGGAAAACCAAAAGGACCAUCAUAUGUGCCCCUUGAGUUUCACUGCAAAGAUAUACCAAAUCACUGUCAACAUUUCAACAAGCUUCCCUGGUGGAAAAGUCAAGGCUGAAGCCUUAUGAAUGAAUAAGUGUCCUCAGUGAGGUAUGUGUCGAUCUUUAAGAUUGGUUUUGUUGGUAUGACAUGUAUGCUGUUUUUUCAUGCUUAUCCUUGGAUGAUAGAUAGGCUUUGAGAUUCAAUAAUUAUGA